rnacentral:rRNA from 1 species
GACGAACGCUGGCGGCGUGCUUAACACAUGCAAGUCGAACGGAAAGGCCCUGCUUUUGUUUGGUGCUCGAUUGGCGAACGGGUGAGUAACACGUGAGUAACCUGCCCUUGACUUUGUGAUAACUUCAGGAAACUCGGGCUAAUACCCGAUAUGAUCUCCUGCUGCAUGUGGUUGAUUGGAAAGUUUCGGCGGUUGUGGAUGGACUCGCGGCUUAUCAGCUUGUUGGUGUGGUAGUGGCUUACCAAGGCUUUGACGGGUAGCCGGCAUGAGAGGGUGACCGGCCACCUUGGGACUGAGAUACGGACCAGAAUCCAACGGGAGGCAGUAGUGGGAAAUAUUGCACAAUGGGCGGAAGCCUGAUGCAGAAACGCCGCGUGCGGGAUGACGGCUUUCGGGUUGUAAACAGCUUUCGAAUGUGCCGAAGCGUGCGUGACGGUAAUGGGUAAAGAAGCAACGGCUAACUACGUG